UUUUUUCAAUAUUUGAGUGGUACCAUAUCUCAAUGUUUUAUGACUGUAUUUGUGAAUAUCGGUUUUAAUUGCAUUACAGCAUUUACACAGUUCCCCAGGGAAUCUGGUCACCCUGAAAACCUAUUUCAGUCCUGUAUAUAAUCAGGUUACCGACCAGCUAACCAUCAACAAACUGAGUGAGAAAUUAUUGAGAAAAGAAAAAAGUGUCCAUCCUCCACACCCCUGAUGACAUCACAACAACGAUUGGAACGGCAAGAACAAGCGUUCCAUUUAAGGUGGUGAAGAUGGCAUGUGAAGAUUUCAGGGAAAUCCCAGAUUCUGUCCUGAAACGGCCAGCUGGACUUCUCAUCACAUCACAGAUGUGGUUAAAGGUCUCAAGUAUUGUAGUACCAAGUAUCCUUGGAACCUCCACACAAGGACAUCACACAGUCUCUAUGAGGGGUGGAAAACAUGGCUCAUUGUAAAAAAAGAAGUCUACGCCUCAAGCUCCUUCCUUCCUGCAACACUACCCAAGGGCAUAUGAAGGUACCCUGGCAAUCAAGAAGGAGAAAUUCCGGGAUCUGAUGACCAUGCUCAACUUCCUCCCACAAUCUGCACGUGCAUUCUAUGAGACCUUAGAGUGUGAAAAAGAGUGAAAGAUGGAAGUGUGUGUGUGUGUGUGGUUGGAGCUGUAGUGGUGGUGAAUGGGUAGUAGUAAUAUCAUUUUAGUGUUUGGUUAUAUUAGUGGUAGGGGGUGGUGGUAUGUAGUAUUAGUUUGUGUAGUGAUGUUGAUAGAAUCAGUAAUGUUGUAGUAGUAGAAUCAUUGUUCGCUUUGUUGUAUUUAACUGUUUGUGUGUGCGUGUGGGCGUGAGUGUGUUAUUUUAAUAAAUGGUUAACAAACAUUUGCACAUUCAUUCAUUGAUCUGCAAACUAUUGACUGUACAUUGACUGCAGUGCAUCUUUAGAACUAAUUAAAUCAACCAUCUUUGAUUAGAGCUUGUUCAGGGAAUCUCCAGGACCAAUGUUCA